UUUCUGCCUGGCGCAAUUCGAUACGCUGGCUAUUAAGCCACCGAAAGACGGCUGAGGUCUAGAGGGAGAACUCGACGCCAAUGUCCUAUUCGACAGAGACCGCAGCAACCUGUAUGCCUCGUGGACGGCAGAGGGAAGCUUCGGAAAAUUCAUUCCACGUGUGACGGGAGACCCCCAACUGUGGGAAUGGACGCGAGAACUGGAAGAUGCACUCCCCAAAGACCUGGGCGCCUGCUGCUGUCUCCCUCUGACGUCUGCGGCACGAGGCUUUGUCACGUGCGGCCACGGCCUGGCUGACACGGAGCGCCAGUGCCCAGACGCUGCGAAGGUACUUGUCGUCUCCCUGUGGCUCCAGUGUGACCGUCUGUCCUGUCUUUUCAUUUCCUGCAUCAGCAACCCCCCCGCCCCCCACCGCCCCCGGCGGGUCUGGGCUGCCUCUCCCCGCGUCCUCACAAGCACCAGGGGAGGCAAUGGUUAGUGCAGCUGACGGGUGACCAGCUCCAGUGGGGCGCAGACCUGACCUUCCUGGCCCCCUGGUCGUGGGGCAGGACCCGACAGCUAGUUCUGGCCCGUGAGCGGGAGUGAGUACGUCGUUCCUGGGUUGGGGCGUUGAAUAGCCUGUGUGUGACUUUCUAGAAUCCCCCGCUGAAGUAAUUAUGGAAGCAGAAGUGAAUUUGGAGCCCCCCCAUAGGCUCAGACCCCCGAGUGGCUGGAGGGACCAGAAUGUCCCUGCCCACCUGCAAAGUCAUGGAGCAGGAGGGAGAAAUAAGUCCGUUUUGAGCCAGAGGUUGGUAAGCCACGGCCUGCAGUCCAAAUCUGGCUCGCUACCCGUUCUUUAAAUGAGGUUUGCCUUGGGGUGCCUGGGUGGCGCAGUCGGUUAAGCGGCCGACUUCAGCCAGGUCACGAUCUCGCGGUCCGUGAGUUCGGGCCCCGCGUCGGGCUCUGGGCUGAUGGCUCGGAGCCUGGAGCCUGUUUCCGAUUCUGUGUCUCCCUCUCUCUCUGCCCCUCCCCCGUUCAUGCUCUGUCUCUCUCUGUCCCAAAAAUAAAUAAACGUUGAAAAAAAAAAUAAUAACUGAG
rnacentral:lncRNA from 1 species